CCUACGGGGGGCAGCAGUGGGGAAUAUUGCACAAUGGGGGAAACCCUGAUGCAGCGACGCCGCGUGUGUGAAGAAGUAUUUCGGUACGUAAAGCUCUAUCAGCAGGGAAGAAAAUGACGGUACCUGACUAAGAAGCCCCGGCUAACUACGGGCCAGCAGCCGCGGUAAUACGUAGGGGGCAAGCGUUAUCCGGAUUUACUGGGUGUAAAGGGAGCGUAGACGGAAGCGCAAGUCUGGGGUGAAAUCCCACGGCUUAACCAUGGAGCUGCAUUGGAAACUGUGCAGCUAGAGUGAAGGAGAGGUAAGCGGAAUUCCUAGUGUAGCGGUGAAAUGCGUAGAUAUUAGGAGGAACACCAGUGGCGAAGGCGGCUUACUGGACUGUAACUGACGUUGAGGCUCGAAAGCGUGGGGAGCAAACAGGAUUAGAUACCCGGGUAGUC
rnacentral:rRNA from 1 species